UGGGGAAUUUUGGACAAUGGGCGAAAGCCUGAUCCAGCAAUGCCGCGUGUGUGAAGAAGGCCUUCGGGUUGUAAAGCACUUUUGUCCGGAAAGAAAUCCUUGGCUCUAAUACAGUCGGGGGAUGACGGUACCGGAAGAAUAAGCACCGGCUAACUACGUGCCAGCAGCCGCGGUAAUACGUAGGGUGCAAGCGUUAAUCGGAAUUACUGGGCGUAAAGCGUGCGCAGGCGGUUUGCUAAGACCGAUGUGAAAUCCCCGGGCUCAACCUGGGAACUGCAUUGGUGACUGGCAGGCUAGAGUACGGCAGAGGGAGGUAGAAUUCCACGUGUAGCAGUGAAAUGCGUAGAGAUGUGGAGGAAUACCGAUGGCGAAGGCAGCCCCCUGGGCCAAUACUGACGCUCAUGCACGAAAGCGUGGGGAGCAAACAGGAUUCAGAUACCCUGGUAGUCCACGCCCUAAACGAUGUCAACUAGUUGUUGGGGAUUCAUUUCCUUAGUAACGUAGCUAACGCGUGAAGUUGACCGCCUGGGGAGUACGGUCGCAAGAUUAAAACUCAAAUGAAUUGACGGGGUCAUAGCUG
rnacentral:rRNA from 1 species